rnacentral:rRNA from 1 species
UACGGAGGGUGCAAGCGUUGUCCGGAUUUAUUGGGCGUAAAGAGCUCGUAGGCGGUUUGUCGCGUCUGCCGUGAAAGUCCGGGGCUUAACCCCGGAUCUGCGGUGGGUACGGGCAGACUAGAGUGCAGUAGGGGAGACUGGAAUUCCUGGUGUAGCGGUGAAAUGCGCAGAUAUCAGGAGGAACACCGAUGGCGAAGGCAGGUCUCUGGGCUGUAACUGACGCUGAGGAGCGAAAGCAUGGGGAGCGAACAGG